GCUUGGGCGUGCCUCCACCCACGCCGGCGUCGGCGGGCGUAUUUCGCCUCACAGUAGGUCGCCGCGACCCGUUGCUUUUGGGGACGUCGAAGGCCCGGACGGAUUGGUACCCUACCGGCUGGGGAUGCGGCUUCGGCUUCUCCUCUUGUCCGGUGGGCGAAACCGCCGGUGUCCUGGCUGCCCUGCGACGGUCGUAGAGACGAGCCCUCCCCUUCGGGGGGGCGGCUCUCGCGGCGUGCAAAAGGUCGGUGAUCCACCCGACCCGUCUUGAAACACGGACCAAGGAGUCUAACAUGUGUGCGAGUCAGUGGGCGCACUAAACCCAGAGGCGUAAUGAAAGUGACACGGGUUCGGCUGUCGCCUCGUGUGGCAGCCGGACUCAGGGCCGAUCCCUCACCGGUUGCCCUCGCCUUCUCUCCCGCGUCUCGGUAAGCCGGGUGAGCUAUUUUCCCCGGCCGCUGCUGCGGGGCGCGGGGGGAGGCGGGGUGCGAUGGUGUCCGUAAAAAAGAGCCUGCUGUUGCAGGGGGGCGCAGGCCCGGGACUUGCCAGGACGCCGCGAGACUGUCACUUUGCUGUGAGGCUCUCGGGCCGAUCAGCGGGUCAUGCGUGCAGUCGGCAAGUACCAUGAGCAGACAUGUUGGGACCCGAAAGAUGGUGAACUAUGCCUGGCCAGGAUGAAGCCAGAGGAAACUCUGGUGGAGGUCCGUAGCGAUUCUGACGUGCAAAUCG
rnacentral:rRNA from 1 species